rnacentral:tRNA from 1 species
GCUCAAGUGGUGGAAGAGAAUACACGGCGGCUUCAAACCCCGCUGCCCAACGUGGCAUGAGGGUGCAAAUCCCUCCUUGAGCACCA